ensembl:snoRNA
GUGCACAUUUCAUUGUCUUUUUUCUUUCGUCAAGAGAAAAGAUAUUUCUGAUGUGCUGAACAAACCUUUGGAGGUAAAUUAGCAGCAUGACUCAUUCGGCCAUUGCUGUCAGUCACCUUCAGACAAGU